rnacentral:rRNA from 1 species
GAUGAACGCUGGCGGCGUGCCUAAUACAUGCAAGUCGAGCGAACGGACGAGAAGCUUGCUUCUCUGAUGUUAGCGGCGGACGGGUGAGUAACACGUGGAUAACCUACCUAUAAGACUGGGAUAACUUCGGGAAACCGUAGCUAAUACCGGAUAAUAUUUUGAACCGCAUGGUUCAAAAGUGAAAGACGGUCUUGCUGUCACUUAUAGAUGGAUCCGCGCUGCAUUAGCUAGUUGGUAAGGUAACGGCUUACCAAGGCAACGAUGCAUAGCCGACCUGAGAGGGUGAUCGGCCACACUGGAACUGAGACACGGUCCAGACUCCUACGGGAGGCAGCAGUAGGGAAUCUUCCGCAAUGGGCGAAAGCCCGACGGAGCAACGCCGCGUGAGUGAUGAAGGUCUUCGGAUCGUAAAACUCUGUUAUUAGGGAAGAACAUAUGUGUAAGUAACUGUGCACAUCUUGACGGUACCUAAUCAGAAAGCCACGGCUAACUACGUG